rnacentral:rRNA from 1 species
GAUGAACGCUGGCGGCGUGCCUAAUACAUGCAAGUCGAGCGAACAGACGAGGAGCUUGCUCCUCUGACGUUAGCGGCGGACGGGUGAGUAACACGUGGAUAACCUACCUAUAAGACUGGGAUAACUUCGGGAAACCGGAGCUAAUACCGGAUAACAUGUUGAACCACAUGGUUCAACAGUGAAAGACGGUCUUGCUGUCACUUAUAGAUGGAUCCGCGCCGCAUUAGCUAGUUGGUAAGGUAACGGCUUACCAAGGCAACGAUGCGUAGCCGACCUGAGAGGGUGAUCGGCCACACUGGAACUGAGACACGGUCCAGACUCCUACGGGAGGCAGCAGUAGGGAAUCUUCCGCAAUGGGCGAAAGCCUGACGGAGCAACGCCGCGUGAGUGAAGAAGGUCUUCAGAUCGUAAAACUCUGUUAUUAGGGAAGAACAAAUGUGUAAGUAACUAUGCACGUCUUGACGGUACCUAAUCAGAAAGCCACGGCUAACUACGUG